UACGUAGGGUGCGAGCGUUGUCCGGAAUUAUUGGGCGUAAAGAGCUCGUAAGCGGCUUGUCGCGUCGGAUGUGAAAGCCCGGGGCUUAACUCCGGGUCUGCAUUCGAUACGGGCAGGCUAGAGUUCGGUAGGGGAGAUCGGAAUUCCUGGUGUAGCGGUGAAAUGCGCAGAUAUCAGGAAGAACACCCGUGGCGAAAGCGGCUCUCUGGAACGGUACUGACGCUGAGACGCGAAAGCGUGGGGAGCGAACAGG
rnacentral:rRNA from 1 species